ensembl:lncRNA
CCUAUUGGUGGCAGUAUUGGAAUUUUUGGUCCUAUGAAGCUGAAAUAAUUUAACUCGAAUUAGGGGCCUGGAAACGAGUUUAUUGUUUGAUCAGUUACGGUUCUAACAAUUGAACAAUGUUCAAUAGUAUUUCCAAGUCAAAGCACUUCGAUUUUUUUUCAGACUCUGGUUGUGUACGUGCAAGUUAUCGGUACCUCUGAAGAUCCAGAACGAGACGGCGAACACAAAGGCCUGCGAAGGUAGCAUUAGCGCGUUAGAAGGGGGCAGACGGGAGGUAAACAAUUAUUACAAUAAUUGCGGGGGCACCUUUUAAGUGGCAACGUGACUUUAGAUUUGGAUAUUUUAUAUAUUUUGUCGAUAUUCUCCUACCUGGCAUGCUUACAUUUGACAAUAUUUAGCUAGCAAGCUAUAUGCGGGCCUGCUCUGAAAAUUAGAUGACUACCUAGCACAUUUCAGCUGACAUUCAAAACAAUAUUUUACAAGCAGGUUGGCAUUAUAUAAGCCAAAUUUAACUACCUAUAUAUUGGAACUUGUUUGUUAGAAGCCUGUUAAUUACUUUGAGUCCUUAUGUCUUGCCUUGAACAGGCAUAUCUGGGCAAAGAACAUCCAAUGUAGCAUAAUCAACGACAAAACAUGUUUAUAUUCAUCACAUGCUUAACGUUAGUGAUAUAGUUGUCACCCAGACACACAGUACAGUUCACCACCCCUUUAUUCUCUGGAGUAUCAGCCCAGCUCAGGCACCUUGGCAGAAUGUACCCAAUGGAUCCAGAGAGGCGCAGUCACCAGAGGGAGUAUGAAGAACCAGAGACAUGCAGUCAGCGGGAGGAGUAUGAAGAACCAGAGACAUGCAGUCACCAGAGGGAGUACGGAGAACCAGAGACAUGCAGUCACCAGAGGGAGUAUGAAGAACCAGAGACAUGCAGUCACCAGAGGGAGUAUGGAGAACCAGAGACAUGCAGUCACCAGAGGGAGUACGGAGAACCAGAGACAUGCAGUCACCAGAGGGAGUACGAAGAACCNGGAGAACCAGAGACAUGCAGUCACCAGAGGGAGUACGAAGAACCAGAGACAUGCAGUCACCAGAGGGAGUAUGAAGAACCAGAGACAUGCAGUCACCAGAGGGAGUACGAAGAACCAGAGACAUGCAGUCAGCGGAAGGAGUAUGGAGAACCAGAGACAUGCAGUCACCAGAGGGAGUAUGGAGAACCAGAGACAUGCAGUCAGCGGAGAGAGUAUGGAGAACCAGAGACAUGCAGUCAGCAGAGAGAGUAUGGAGAACCAGAGAGAUGCAGUCAGCGGAGGGAGUACAGAGAACCGAGUUCAGGGCAAUGGGACUAUGGCCUUGAGAUGAGAGGCAACUGCCAGGCUAUGGCCAGAGAUCUCUACAGUGAAUACUCUAGCAUGAGGAGGACUAGAGAAGAUUGGGAGGACUAUGGUGCUUCCUCUGAUAUGAGCUACACAAUGGACCCAUCGUCCAGAGACUGGAGCGAAGGCUCAUUGUGGGGUAGUGCUGCUCCCUUCUCCCCAGACACAGAUGGGGAGGUUGAUGGAGAUCCUGUGGAGCUCAGUGUGGAGGACCUGGAGCUCCUUCGGAACAGGAUGGAGCUGGAGAUCAUCGAGGAACAGAUUGCCCUUAAAAAAGCUGUUCUUGCCAUGGAAUUGGUUGGGCCUGAAUCAAAGGCCAUCUGUAAACAGAAGACGAAGGACAAGGACCUUGAAGUGUUAACAACAAAUGUUUCCAAUAAAGAUGUUACUCUUAAAGAGAGGGUGAAUUGCAUUUUGAGAAAGCGGGCAUGGACCAAUGAAUGUCGCUCAAAGGAGGCUGCCAACCAGAAGGUCCCUCCCAAGCUUGUUCUCCAUCCGCCCAAAGUGGUCAAAAGCUUUGUGGAACGGAUGAACGAGUCCAUCCUGCACAAAGACAGCAGUUUGAAGAGCAGCCUUACCCUGGACGUCCAUGAAGAGGAGCAUCCUCUGAAACUCAAAGUGGAGGCUUUAUUGGCGCAGCGACACAAUUCCACGGUGAAUAAGGAGGUAUGUACUAUGUACCAUAUCUGGGAUCAAUUGUGUUUUGGAAGCGGACCAGCAUACACGUUUAAAAUGUAUAUAGCUGUUGCAGUGGAUGGUUAUUUGUUGACAUUUCUUCAUGUUUGGUCCCUUAUCCCAUUGUUCAGGACAAAGCAGCCAAGGGCUUCCAGCACUUCCUCGAUGUCCUCAACAAAGGGGUGGACAUCGACAGGCUCUCAAAGAUUGUCAACAAUUUCAAGGAUUUACCCUCUAUGGGAGAGGAGCUGCCACAAGGUCAGCCGCCUCCACUUCAUGGCCAGCCCGAGACCAACUCUAAGAAUGAGAGGAAGGUGCCCUCUCGCAAAAGGCGCUCCCGAUUUGAUGAGUUCCCACAAGGUUCGUUCAAUAUACUCUGGGGUCAGCCCACACUACUCGGGGUUCAGCCCAAUCCGUUUGGGGAUCUGUUGCGUCAAGUGGCCCAAGCAGGUAACGUUCUGCCACAGCACCGCAGUCUCUUACAAAAUGGAGGAGGAGAGAUUGGGCAACAUAGCCUUAGCUUAGGCUUCAUCCAGGCUAUGGAUAGCCCAAAAAACAAAAAGCCCAAGUCUACACAGGUGGAUGAGACGACUCUAGUUGAGGAGAAGACGAAGGUGAGGCUUGAGGAUGAUGAGCAGCGGCACGAGCAGAUCAGAACCCUGCUGGAGAUCGUUGGCUGGACUUGGGGGUUGAGGAGUUGGGUUCAGCUGGACAGACAGGACCAAAUGACAAGGCUGUAUGGGAAGAUGGGAGACUUAAAAAGGAAGGAGUUCGAGAAUGAGAAAGGGGAAAGAGAAAAGGGAAAGCGAGCCCUCAUUAAAACAUCUUAGUACUGUCCUCAUUACCAUCAGACAGCGCGCAGCCCCUUCUAACCCAGCACUCAAACAUGACCGGUGAAUACAGCAA